rnacentral:rRNA from 1 species
AGCGAUAUAAGGGCGUAUGGCGGAUGACUAGAGAUAAAUUGGCGAAGAAGGACGCGGCGUGACGGCGAUAUGCUUGGGGGAGGUGUCUAGCAACCUGCGAUCCCAAGAUUUCCGAAUGGGGAAACCUAUGCCGAAAUUUAAAUUCGGUAUUCUGCGAUUUUAAAAAAUCGUAUGAGCGAACCUAGGGAAGUAAAACAUUUCAGUACCUAGAGGAAAAGAAACCAAUCUCACGCUUUAUGCCGUAAGCCGUAAGCUGUAAAAAGCUUAAGGCGUAUGGCGUAUGGCGUGAACAAUUCUCUUAGUAGCGGCGAGCGAAAAGGGAAGAGCCCAGAGUUUUUUCUUUUUGGUAAUUUAUUAUUAAAAGGAUAAAGCAGUAGUAAGUUUAGUUCUGAUCUUUAAUGAUAUGGAAAAUUAGAUUAUUAGCAGAACGGUCCUGGAAAGGCCGGCCAAAGAGGGUAAUAGCCCCGUAAGCGACAAUAAAUCUAUAUUCUUUGAACUUUACUUGAGUACCUCGAAAAAUGUAUAGUUCGGGGGAAAUCGCCGGCACGAGCCGGUAAGGCUAAAUACAAUUUAUCAUCGAUAGUGAACAAGUACCGUGAGGGAAAGUUGAAAAGCAGCCCGGUGAGGGCGAUGAAAUAGUACCUGAAACCAUAUGCCUACAAGGAGUCAGAGUCGGUCGCGCCUCACUGCGUUUGGCGCUCGUCAGUUUAUAGUUUGUAGUCCAUAGUUUAUAGUUAAUUUUCUAUAAACUAAAAACUAUCAACUAUCAACUGCGAGUCGCGCGAGCGUAGCGAGGCGCGACUCGAUGAUGGCGUGCCUAUUGAAGAAUGAGCCAACGAGUUAUUGUUUUUUGCUCGUCUAAGGGCGUGAUGCCCGGAGACAAAGGGAAACCGAGUGUUAAUAGCGCGUACACACACUCAAAAUUUUGGACAAAUAAAAAGCAAGGGGCUAAACAUAGGCCACAUAGGACCUAAGAAGCCACCCCUUGCUAAUUGGCUUGACUAAGUCGUAGUCUAUCAAACCUAUUAUAUUUGUCAAUAGGGUCCAAAAUUUUGAGUGUGUAAGCAGAAAACGAUAGACCCGAAGCCAGAUGAGCUUACCAUGACCAGGGUGAACCUCGGAGAAAUCCGGGGGAAGGCCCGAACCGUUUAGCCGUUCAAAACUAUCGGAUGAGUUGUGGUAAGGAGUGAAAAGCUAAUCGAAUCUGGUAAUAGCUGGUUUUCUCCGAAAUAGCUUUAGCGCUAGCGGAUUCCGCAAACCGGGAGGUAGAGCUACUAGAAGGUCUGUACAGGGAGCAAUCUCGACAGACCUACUAAACUCCGAAUGCCCGGUGUUAAAUGGAAUCUAGUCAGACCACGGGGGCUAAGCUCCGUCGGUCAAAAGGGAAAGAGCCCAGAUCUAAAACUAAGGUCCCUAAAUUUCCACUAAGUGCAAAUAAGGUGGUGAAGUUUCUUAAACAGCGAGGAGGUUGGCUUAGAAGCAGCCAUCCUUUAAAGAGU